AAGGAAAAUUUCUUCACUGCUCCAACAAAAGGAAGCAUCCGAACAGGUCGAAACCCAACUUAGAGGUGAAGUGUCUGAUCUUACCGACCAGAAGAGAAUUCUUCAGCAGGAAAAAGACCAGAAGACAGAGAAUUGUCGCAUCCUCCAAGAGAAGCUACAUGAGGCCAUGAGGCAGCAAGCAAGACUUACACAGACAGUGAACUUUCUGGAACAGACAUGCGCAGAGAAACAAGAUACUAUUGAUCAACUUUCCAACCAAAGACGUGAAAACCUCGAGAAAAUCACAAGACUGGAAGGUAUAGUUUCUUCACUACGCCAGGAAUUGGAAGCAUCUAACCAGGACAGAACCCAGUUGGCAGGUAGUGUGCACACGUGCUUUAGUCUCUGUCCAUUUCUCUCUCUCUCUGUAUAUGACAC